CGCCUCUUGCAAAUAAAGAAUAAGAGGUCCCGCCUGCCCUGUGACUAUAAGUUUAACGGCCGCGGUAUUUUGACCGUGCGAAGGUAGCGCAAUCACUUGUCUUUUAAAUGAAGACCUGUAUGAAUGGCAUAACGAGGGCUUAGCUGUCUCCUUUUUCAAGUCAAUGAAAUUGAUCUCCCCGUGCAGAAGCGGGGAUAAAACCAUAAGACGAGAAGACCCUGUGGAGCUUUAGACACCAGGGUAAAUCAUGUUAAACAUCCCUAAACAAAGGGCUAAACCAAAUGAAAAUUACUCCCAUGUCUUUGGUUGGGGCGACCGCGGGGAAACACAAAACCCCCACGUGGAAUGGGACUACUCCCUCCUACAACUCAGAGCUUCCGCUCUAAUUAACAGAAUUUCUGACCAACAAGAUCCGGCAACGCCGAUCGACGAACCGAGUUACCCCAGGGAUAACAGCGCAAUCCCCUUUUAGAGUCCAUAUCGACAAGGGGGUUUACGACCUCGAUGUUGGAUCAGGACAUCCUAAUGGUGCAGCCGCUAUUAAGGGUUCGUUUGUUCAACGAUUAAAGUCCU
rnacentral:rRNA from 1 species